CAACCUUACUUCAGUCAGGAUCAUUUUCCGUUAGCAAUGGUUAUUCGUUGCAUACAGAUAUGCAUUAAAUUUCCCCUUUACCUUGCCAACUUCUCACCUACCUCAGUGCAUGGGCGACACACUUAUGAAGUAUGUCUGAUUUUUUAACAUUUGAAACGGUUUUAAAAUAAAAACGAUUGACCGGGAAAAAAAAUAUGAUUUUUUAAU